rnacentral:rRNA from 1 species
GAUGAACGCUGGCGGCGUGCCUAACACAUGCAAGUCGAACGAAGCACCUUACCUGAUUCUUCGGAUGGAAGUCUGGUGACUGAGUGGCGGACGGGUGAGUAACGCGUGGGUAACCUGCCCUGUACAGGGGGAUAACAGCUGGAAACGGCUGCUAAUACCGCAUAAGCGCACGAGGAGACAUCUUCUUGUGUGAAAAACUCCGGUGGUACAGGAUGGGCCCGCGUCUGAUUAGCUGGUUGGCAGGGUAACGGCCUACCAAGGCAACGAUCAGUAGCCGGUCUGAGAGGAUGAACGGCCACAUUGGAACUGAGACACGGUCCAAACUCCUACGGGAGGCAGCAGUGGGGAAUAUUGCACAAUGGGGGAAAUCCUGAUGCAGCAACGCCGCGUGAGUGAAGAAGUAUUUCGGUAUGUAAAGCUCUAUCAGCAGGGAAGAUAAUGACGGUACCUGACUAAGAAGCUCCGGCUAAAUACGUGCCAGCCGCCGCAGUAA